UGGGGAAUUUUGGACAAUGGGCGCAAGCCUGAUCCAGCAAUGCCGCGUGCAGGAUGAAGGCCUUCGGGUUGUAAACUGCUUUUGUACGGAGCGAAAAGGUCUGCCCUAAUACGGUGGGCUCAUGACGGUACCGUAAGAAUAAGCACCGGCUAACUACGUGCCAGCAGCCGCGGUAAUACGUAGGGUGCGAGCGUUAAUCGGAAUUACUGGGCGUAAAGCGUGCGCAGGCGGUUGUAUAAGACAGAUGUGAAAUCCUCGGGCUCAACCUGGGACCUGCAUUUGUGACUGUAUAGCUAGAGAACGGUAGAUGGGGAUGGAAUUCCACGUGUAGCAGUGAAAUGCGUAGUUAUGCGGAGGAACACCGAUGGCGAAGGCAAUCCCCUGGACCUGUACUGACGCUCAUGCACGAAAGCGUGAGGAGCAAUCA
rnacentral:rRNA from 1 species